rnacentral:rRNA from 1 species
UACGUAGGGUGCAGGCGUUAAUCGGAAUUACUGGGCGUAAAGCGUGCGCAGGCGGUUUCUUAAGUCAGAUGUGAAAGCCCCCGGGCUUAACCUGGGAACUGCGUUUGAAACUGGGAGACUUGAGUGUGGCAGAGGGGGGGUGGAAUUCCACGUGUAGCAGUGAAAUGCGUAGAUAUGUGGAGGAACACCGAUGGCGAAGGCAGCCCCCUGGGUUAACACUGACGCACUCGAUGCACGAAAGCGUGGGGAGCAAACAGGA